GACGAACGCUGGCGGCGUGCUUAACACAUGCAAGUCGAACGGAAAGGCCCUGCUUGCAGGGUACUCGAGUGGCGAACGGGUGAGUAACACGUGGGUGAUCUGCCCUGCACUUCGGGAUAAGCCUGGGAAACUGGGUCUAAUACCGGAUAGGAGCCAUUUUUAGUGUGAUGGUUGGAAAGUUUUUUCGGUGUAGGAUAAGCUCGCGGCCUAUCAGCUUGUUGGUGGGGUAAUGGCCUACCAAGGCGGCGACGGGUAGCCGGCCUGAGAGGGUGGACGGCCACAUUGGGACUGAGAUACGGCCCAGACUCCUACGGGAGGCAGCAGUGGGGAAUAUUGCACAAUGGGCGCAAGCCUGAUGCAGCGACGCCGCGUGGGGGAUGACGGCCUUCGGGUUGUAAACUCCUUUCGCUAGGGACGAAGCUUUUUGUGACGGUACCUAGAUAAGAAGCACCGGCUAACUACGUG
rnacentral:rRNA from 1 species